rnacentral:rRNA from 1 species
UACAGAGGGUGCGAGCGUUAAUCGGAAUUACUGGGCGUAAAGCGUGCGUAGACGGUUAUAUAAGUCGGAUGUGAAAGCCCCGGGCUCAACCUGGGAAUUGCAUUCGAGACUGCAUAGCUAGGGUGCGGAAGAGGGAAGCGGAAUUUCGGGUGUAGCGGUGAAAUGCGUAGAUAUCCGAAGGAACAUCAGUGGCGAAAGCGGCUUCCUGGUCCAGCACCGACGUUCAGGCACGAAAGCGUGGGGAGCAAGCAGG